rnacentral:misc_RNA from 1 species
AAGUCGUAACAAGGUUUCCGUAGGUGAACCUGCGGAAGGAUCAUUAACACGUAUCCAACGUUAAAACAACCCUGUGAACCUUCAAUCUUGCUCGCGUGGCUCCAUGAAAGCAGCAAUCCCUGGUAAAUCAUUGUCGACCAGAUUUUGAGUCAGGGACCUCUGCCAAUGACAGUUACGCUCGUAGCGAUGCAAGCGACCUGGCACCCCCAAGCUGAAAGCGAUUGUGUAAGGGUGGCGCAAACACGAUCGUUGGAGGCCGACACGGCCGACGACCGGGUCCCUGGGUCACCAUGCCCCUUAAUCACCACACUGUAACGCCGACAGGUCGAAAACCGAACAACUGUUAACAAUGGAUAUCUUGGUUCUC